rnacentral:lncRNA from 1 species
GUUAAAAAAUAUAUUUUGUUUUAAAGGUUUAAGCAAGUUUUAAAAUGUUAAUUGUAAAGGAAAUUCUGUGUGUAAACAUAUUGGCUAAAGCUAAAGGGGUAUCAUGCAGUUUUUCUGUGAACUGGAUGUUAAAAGCACAAUAGAUUUUUCUUAAAGCACUAACCCGCUCUUUAACAAAAAUUAUAAAAGCUUAAAAAGAGUCUAUAAAAAUCUUACCCUAUAGUCAGACAUUAAAAUUGAAUAAAUAAUGUCUACAAGAUUUUAUUAAGUUUGGCCGGGCACGGUGGCUCACGCCUGUAAUCCCAGC